rnacentral:rRNA from 1 species
UGGGGAAUAUUGCACAAUGGGCGCAAGCCUGAUGCAGCCAUGCCGCGUGUGUGAAGAAGGCCUUCGGGUUGUAAAGCACUUUCAGCGAGGAGGAAGGUGGUGAACUUAAUACGUUCAUCAAUUGACGUUACUCGCAGAAGAAGCACCGGCUAACUCCGUGCCAGCAGCCGCGGUAAUACGGAGGGUGCAAGCGUUAAUCGGAAUUACUGGGCGUAAAGCGCACGCAGGCGGUUUGUUAAGUCAGAUGUGAAAUCCCCGGGCUCAGCCUGGGAACUGCAUUUGAAACUGGCAAGCUAGAGUCUCGUAGAGGGGGGUUAGAAUUCCAGGUGUAGCGGUGAAAUGCGUAGAGAUCUGGAGGAAUACCGGUGGCGAAGGCGGCCCCCUGGACGAAGACUGACGCUCAGGUGCGAAAGCGUGGGGAGCAAACAGGAUUAGAUACCCAUGGUAGUCCACGCUGUAAACGAUGUCGAUUUUGGAGGUUGUGCCCUUGAGGCGUGGCUUCCGGAGCUAACGCGUUAAUCGACCGCCUGGGGAGUACGGCCGCAAGG